CCUACGGGAGGCAGCAGUGAGGAAUAUUGGUCAAUGGACGAGAGUCUGAACCAGCCAAGUAGCGUGAAGGAUGACUGCCCUAUGGGUUGUAAACUUCUUUUAUAUGGGAAUAAAACGUUCCACGUGUGGGAUUUUGUAUGUACCAUAUGAAUAAGGAUCGGCUAACUCCGUGCCAGCAGCCGCGGUAAUACGGAGGAUCCGAGCGUUAUCCGGAUUUAUUGGGUGUAAAGGGAGCGUAGGUGGAUUGUUAAGUCAGUGGUGAAAGUUUGCGGCUCAACCGUAAAAUUGCAGUUGAAACUGGCAGUCUUGAGGACAGUAGAGGUGGGCGGAAUUCGUGGUGUAGCGGUGAAAUGCUUAGAUAUCACGAAGAACUCCGAUUGCGAAGGCAGUUCACUGGACUGCAACUGACACUGAGGCUCGAAAGUGUGGGUAUCAAACAGGAUUAGAUACCCCAGUAGUC
rnacentral:rRNA from 1 species